CCUACGGGCGGCAGCAGUAGGGAAUCUUGCACAAUGGGCGAAAGCCUGAUGGAGCAAAGCAGCGUGGGUGAAGAAGGUCUUCGGAUCGUAAAACCCUGUUGUUAGAGAAGAAAGCGCGUGAGCGUAACUGUUCAUGCUUCGACGGUAUCUAAAAAGAAAGCCACGGCUAACUACGUGCCAGCGGCCGCGGUAAUACGUAGGUGGCAGGCGUUAUCCGGAGUUAUUGGGCGUAAAGGUAACGCAGGCGGGUUUUUAAGUCUGAUGGUAAAGGCUUCGGCUUAACCGGUGUAGUGCAUUGGAAACUGGGAGGCUUGAGUGCAGAAGAGGAGAGUGGAACUCCAGGGGUAGCGGUGAAAUGCGUAGAUAUAUGGAAGAACACCAGUGGCGAAGGCGGCUCUCUGGUCUGUAACUGACGCUGAGGUUCGAAAGCGUGGGUAGCAAACAGGAUUAGAUACCCCAGUAGUC
rnacentral:rRNA from 1 species